rnacentral:rRNA from 1 species
GUGGCCUUGGUCCAUUCCAGGAUUUCAACAUCUAGCAACCUGGCGACGCUUCCAUGUAGGAAUUGAAUUAAGAGAGCACACAGGAGAGCAAACUCAUCUCACCCAUGGCUCAGCCUCAAGGUAAACUGAUGGACACGAUCAGAAGGCCGGUUGCAGCAGCUUCAUCUCUUCAUCAUUCAGCGGCUAAGCAUCUGGUCACCUUGGCCCAGAGGAAUGGAGUUAACAGGAGGUGCCUCCUCACUCUGCUGGUAUCCGCCGCAGCCAUACCUGAGGCCGGUGAAUCAAGAAAGGCCCUAUUGCAAGAUUAUGUGAAGAGAUCAAAGGAAAACAAAGAAAAGAAUGACAAGGAGAGGCGGGACGCCGUUUACAAAAGGAAUUACAAGGAUUAUUUCGGUUUCAUGGAAGGCCCGGUCAGAGAGAAGCCGGCGGAAGAGCUCACGGAGUCGGAGAAAGGAAUUCUUGCGUGGCUUGACAAGAACAAGUAGCUAGUGUUGGAACAUGGGAGGAACAUGCCAACCAAAUAGCUGAAACAGCUUUUUUCUGUAGGGAAAUUCCUUCCGCGGUGAAGUUCUCAAUGAGUUAAUAAGCUUAGCAUAUAGCACCUCACUUGCCUCUUAAACCUGGUGCAACUUGUUCUGUUUCAUCAUUGUUUCUUAUCUGUGCAGUAGCACAAAUUGUUGCUUGACAGUAUGUUUCAUGUUUGCAAAAUCAGAAAAAAUCAGAAAAUGGACAUCAUUAUACACAAAUUUGUACUAGUAUUUUGUACAGUACCCUGACAGUGGACAAGGGGACUUUUCUCUUGCUUCUUUUGUUAAUCAGAAUGCAAUACUAGAAAUUUGUUUGGGAAAUGCUGAGAUAAUGGUAAGAAAAAUAAUUCAAAUAUGUGGCCUAGAAAAAUAAAAAUAAAAUGCAGAUACCGGAAAGGCAAAAAGAUUUAAUGGAAGAAGGUAUACAUAUCAAACAGUCUGACGUGUGACUUGUCCAAAACCCAAGCAGGACUGCAUAUUGUCAGAUUUGCCCCUGUCUGUUUCCGUCCAGAGAAAAACCUGUGGCCUUGGUCCAUUCCAGGAUUUCAUCAUAUCAUAUCAUAUCAAGUAGCAGCAACCUGCCAUGUAGGAAAUCAAGAGAGCACACUGGAGAGCAAACUCAUCUCAUCCCAUGGCUCAGCCUCCAGGUAAACUGAUGGACACAAUCAGAAGGCCGGUCGCAGCAGCUUCAACCCUUCAUCAUUCAGCGGCGAAGCAUCUGGUCACCUUGGCUCAGAGGAACGGAGUUAACAGGAGGUGCCUCCUCACUCUGCUGGCAUCCGCCGCAGCCAUACCCGAGGCUAGCGAAUCAAGAAAGGCGCUAUUGCAAGAUUAUGUGAAGAGGUCAAAGGAAAACAAAGAAAAGAAUGACAAGGAGAGGCUGGACGACUUUUACAAGAGGAAUUACAAGGAUUAUUUUGGUUUCAUGGAAGGCUCGGUUAGAGAGAAGCCAGUGGAGGAGCUCACGGAGUCGGAGAAAGGAAUUCUCGCAUGGCUCGACAAGAACAAGUAGCUAGUGUUGAACAUGAGAGGAGCAGGCCAACCACCAAAUGGCUGAAACAGCUUUUCCGAUAGGAAAAUUCCUUCCCCGGUUAAGUUCUCAAGGAGUUAAUAAGCUUAGCAUUUAGCACCCCACUUGCCUCUUAAAUCUGGUGCAACUUUCUCCGUUUCAUCAUUGUCAUCUCAUCUGUGCAGCACAAAUCUUUGCUUGACCUGAUAUUAUGUUUCAUUUUUUGCAAAAUCAGAGAUUUUCGUAAGUUUUAGAAUUCAGGACAGGGAAAAAUAGAAAAUUAUUCCAUCCCAAAUUUGCAAUCCACAUACAUUGUUGUUCUGCCCUCAGAAAAAUAUGGCUCCUUCUCCUCGGACGGCAGGGUCAGGUAUGAUAUUAAGAAGGAAUGACGGGAGCGUAAUCUUUGCUGCGUACCGUCACUUAUUCUUUUGUGAUAAUGCUCUUGAAGCCGAGCUCCAUGCAAUCAGUGGUGAUUCAAUCGGAUUUCUCAACAGCCUUGAUCUGUUGGCUUAUGGUCAUCUUAUUUUAGAGAUCAGAGUCUUAUGGUCGGUGCUCGGUAGGGAGUUUGUUCCAAUGAAAAUUUACAGGGACCAGAACAGAGUGGCAGAUCAUGGUAGAACUGUCUAUAACAGAGCUUGUUAA